rnacentral:rRNA from 1 species
GGGACGAUGCGGCAGCUACACAUGCAAGUCGAGCGGAUGACGGGAGCUUGCUCCUUGAUUCAGCGGCGGACGGGUGAGUAAUGCCUAGGAAUCUGCCUGGUAGUGGGGGACAACGUUUCGAAAGGAACGCUAAUACCGCAUACGUCCUACGGGAGAAAGCAGGGGACCUUCGGGCCUUGCGCUAUCAGAUGAGCCUAGGUCGGAUUAGCUAGUUGGUGGGGUAAUGGCUCACCAAGGCGACGAUCCGUAACUGGUCUGAGAGGAUGAUCAGUCACACUGGAACUGAGACACGGUCCAGACUCCUACGGGAGGCAGCAGUGGGGAAUAUUGGACAAUGGGCGAAAGCCUGAUCCAGCCAUGCCGCGUGUGUGAAGAAGGUCUUCGGAUUGUAAAGCACUUUAAGUUGGGAGGAAGGGCAGUAAGUUAAUACCUUGCUGUUUUGACGUUACCGACAGAAUAAGCACCGGCUAACUCUGUGCCAGCAGCCGCGGUAAUACAGAGGGUGCAAGCGUUAAUCGGAAUUACUGGGCGUAAAGCGCGCGUAGGUGGUUUGUUAAGUUGGAUGUGAAAGCCCCGGGCUCAACCUGGGAACUGCAUCCAAAACUGGCAAGCUAGAGUACGGUAGAGGGUGGUGGAAUUUCCUGUGUAGCGGUGAAAUGCGUAGAUAUAGGAAGGAACACCAGUGGCGAAGGCGACCACCUGGACUGAUACUGACACUGAGGUGCGAAAGCGUGGGGAGCAAACAGGAUUAGAUACCCUGGUAGUCCACGCCGUAAACGAUGUCAACUAGCCGUUGGAAUCCUUGAGAUUUUAGUGGCGCAGCUAACGCAUUAAGUUGACCGCCUGGGGAGUACGGCCGCAAGGUUAAAACUCAAAUGAAUUGACGGGGGCCCGCACAAGCGGUGGAGCAUGUGGUUUAUUUCGAAGCAACGCGAAGAACCUUACCAGGCCUUGACAUGCAGAGAACUUUCCAGAGAUGGAUUGGUGGCCUGCGGGAACUCUGACACAGGUGCUGCAUGGCUGUCGGUCAGCUCGUGUCGUGAGAUGUUGGGAUAAGUUCGCUUAACUACCGCAACCCAUUGUUCUUUAUUUACCAGCACGUAAUGGGUGGGGCAUUCGUAGGGACAACUGCCAGGUGAACAAACCCGGAGGAAAGCUGGGGGAAGGAAGUUGGAGGUCGACCAUGGGCCCUUUACGGGGCUGGGGGUAAGCACGCUGCCACAAACGGGUCGGUAACAAAAGGGGUUGCAACA